rnacentral:rRNA from 1 species
UACGAGUGCCUCAAGCGUUAUCCGGAAUUAUUGGGCGUAAAGGGUGUGUAGGCGGUUGUAUUAGUCUUCUGUUAAAUUCUUCGGCUUAACCGGGGGCUUGCAGAGGAAACGGUACAACUAGAGGGUGCGAGAGGUGAAUGGAACUCAUGGUGUAGGGGUGAAAUCCGUUGAUAUCAUGGGGAACACCAAAGGCGAAGGCAAUUCACUGGCGCAUUUCUGACGCUGAAACACGAAAGCGUGGGUAGCGAAUGGG